rnacentral:misc_RNA from 1 species
UCAGCUAAAUAAACCAAUUCGAAUAAUGACCACCUGACAAAGUAGCAAUCUAUGGCAUGUGCUUAAGUGAGAAGCAGAUAAGCCUGUGCUCAUGGAGACACUGUGCAUGGGGCAGAUAAUCAAUUUGAUCAUAUUUCUGUCUGUUGUCUGCAAUUGCAGGUGAAAGCCUGUUGGAAUCACCUGGGUUGAGAGGUAUUGAUUUUGAUGAGGUUAUACCUUGGGUUUGUGCAUAGGAUCUGUCUAAAUUUUUUGCUAUAGGAGUAUUUCUUGUUUUCUUUUACUUUCAUAGUCUUUUAUAGGAAUACUUAUUUUUUUUUUUUUUUUUAAUAAAAUUUUUUGAACAUUGUAAGAACUAAAACAAUUAAAGGAAAUGAUGCUGCAAAAGCAUUUGAUUACGGG